rnacentral:rRNA from 1 species
UACGUAGGGUGCGAGCGUUAAUCGGAAUUACUGGGCGUAAAGCGUGCGCAGGCGGUUCGUUAAGUCCGAUGUGAAAGCCCCGAGCUUAACUUGGGAAUGGCAUUGGAAACUGGCGGGCUGGAGUGCGGCAGAGGGGGGUGGAAUUCCACGUGUAGCAGUGAAAUGCGUAGAGAUGUGGAGGAACACCGAUGGCGAAGGCAGCCCCCUGGGCCGACACUGACGCUCAGGCACGAAAGCGUGGGGAGCAAACAGG